rnacentral:rRNA from 1 species
UACGGAAUGUGCAAACGUUAUUCGGAAUCACUGGGCUUAAAGAGUCCGUAGGCGGCCUGUUAGGUGAGGUGUGAAAUCCCCCGGCUCAACCGAGGAAUUGCGCUUCAAACCGGCAGGCUUGAGGAGGAUAGAGGUGGGCGGAACUGAUGGUGGAGCGGUGAAAUGCGUUGAUAUCAUCAGGAACACCGGAGGCGAAAGCGGUCCACUGGGUCCUUUCUGACGCUGAG